GAUUGGGUGAAACCCUAGCCACCACUCCCCGUUGGGCUUCUCUCCUCCAUUCCCCAUCGUGCCCCUCUCUUCCAAUCCCUGUAGCCGACGACGAGAUCUUUCCCUUCGCCGAGCUUGCCACCAUCGCUGCUCUCCCCUCGCCAUCGCCGGGAGGAGUGUGCAAGCCGCCGCUUGCGUCAUUUCUCCGCAGCCGCCACCGCCCCCUUCCCUUCCAAACCCGCGGAGAUGAUGGCGCUGGCGUCGGCGCCGACGCUCGCGGUGGUCGGGUACUGGGCUGCCCGGCAGCCGCGGGGCCCAGACGCGCUACAUCGUCAGGGACCUCAAGCUGUCGACGGCGGGGACUGAGUCACCGCCGCAUCAUCUUCUCCUUCUCCCCAACACCGCAUCUCCUCCUCCCCAACACCGAUGAGUGCGGGUCGCCGUCGCACCAGAUGAGAUGGGGCAGCAACCACGCCCCCUUCACCUCUUCUACCCAGCCGUGCCACUCGGGACGACAAGAUCCAGCCGCGGCGGCCGAGAUCCAGCUGGCUGCCAUUGAUAUGAGGAGCGCUCGCGCCGCUGCUCCGUUGUUCGUCGUCCACUUGGCCGCAACCAUCCACAAGAAGAGGUGAUGUCACGGCAGCAGGGUCCUCGCCUGUCUCCACUCUCUCGUCGCAACAACAUUUCCAUCUCCAUCCCCAACGCAUCCUUGACUCAUCUUGAUCUGGAAUGAACCAGAGCCCAGAGAAAGAGAUUUGAUGUGAUGAUUGAGGUAAAAGGCAUGGAUUGUUUGGGGCUCCUCUGAAAUAAGCUUCUUAAUUAAGAGAUGAAUACAGUCGGAGCCUGGGAUUUUUAUACACAUAGAUGGUGCAUAAAUAAGCAAAACAAAAAAUGCGCCAAUGCUUUGCCAGAAUUUCGUUUGUCCUCUCAAAAUUGUGGCGAAACCAAGAUUGAAUUUAGGGAUGUUUCAUAUGCUUGGCCGUUGACACACUUCUCUUCAAGGCAAGGUCAUUUCCAAGGUGAUUACAGCGGUAGGACCUGCCCCUGAUAAGAACCAGGGUACCCGUUUAAACAGAAUGAUGACUGCGUGAGGCUUAAAAUAUCGCCAUCAUAUCAGGGACAUGGAAAGAUGCAAGCGUUACUAUCUUGCAAGCUUGCUCUAAAAGACAAAUUUGAAUGGAUCUUUAAUUAGACAACGCAAAACCCUUUCCGUGUUUGUUGAACCCUGCGGGUGAUGCUGUCACUUCCAUGGUCCACCAGAAUGAAGAUCGCACUCAGUGCUGCAAGGGGGCUUGCCUUCCUGCACGAAGCUGAGAAGCCGCGAGUGCUUGAUGCGGCACUCCCACCGUAACUCAUCCUUUUGUGUCCGCUGCAGUAGGUUGCUGGCUUUGAGGCCGAUGACGGUGUGUUGUUUUCUCUGGUGGUCCGGCCAGCUACGCCCAUCCUGGAGGCCGACAUGCCCUCUCCGGCUGAAAUCCCCUCGCCCUGGCCCCACUCGCUACAUGGCGCUGAACAUUCAACCAAGGAGGGGUGGUGCCUCUUCUCCGGCCCGCACAUACCAUCCCCAACACCAACAUCGGAUGACUCGAAGGUUUGUGGAUAGAAUGUGAGAUAUUUCAAUUAAGGUUCCGAAGAAAGAUCCCAAAUAAUACAGUGUCCCCCCAUUUGAAAAAUGGCACGGUGGAUUUGAUACCUCAAUGGUCUUGCACUAGCCACAGACAGCUUUGCGUUUGUGCCUUGGUUUAGGAGGUGUCCAUAACGAAAUAGUACAAAACUUUUGCAAAUUCUCGCAUACAGCCAUGGGGUCGUUUGGCACCGGUAUAUGUGAUUAGUGGAUCUUCAGUCUGCGGGCACCGAGGAUACAUACAUAGUGGUAUGAUGUCUGAAAAUCAGUCAGAUAUCUUUGCUAAGAUUUUAACUUGCCUUGUGAAUUUCUUCUGCUGAGUGCUUAUUUCCUUUUUUAGGGGUGAGUGCUUAUUUGCUGACAGGCCAUGUUAAAUUGUCACUGUUUGGUAUGGGUCGCUUCAUGUGAGGAAAUCAGACCUCUCUUUGUAGCUUCAAAGAUGCAGUAAUUAUAGUACUCUUCAAAUUGCAUCUUUUAGGAUAGGUUUUCCAUUGCUUGUGCCCCGUUGAUAUGUAGUGUUUAUGUACGUUGUUUUUAUUAUUUACAUUGGAUCUGAAUUUAAAGCAAGAGAAGUAUGCAUAAAAAAAAGGAGAAACUGAAAAAAUGAUA